rnacentral:rRNA from 1 species
GACGAACGCUGGCGGCAUGCCUAACACAUGCAAGUCGAACGAGACCUUCGGGUCUAGUUGCGCACGGGUGCUUGACGCGUGGUAACCUGCCCGUAGGUUCGGAAUAACUCCCCGAAAGGUGUGCUAAUACCGGUUAAUGUCUUCGGACCAAAGAUUUAUCGCCGUUGGGUGGGCCCGGGUUGGAUUAGUUGGUUGGUAGUGUAAAAGCCUACCAAGGGGACGAUGCAGAGCUGGUCUGAGAGGAUGAUAAGCCACAAUGGGACUGAGACACGGCCCAGAACCCGACGGGAGGGAGCAGUGGGGAAUAUUGGACGAUGGGCGAAAGUCUGAUCAAGCAAUGCCGCGUGAGUGAUGAAGGCCUUAGGGUUGUAAAGCUCUUUUAGACGGGAUGAUAAUGACAGUACCGGGAGAAUAAGCUCCGGCUAACUCCGUG